rnacentral:rRNA from 1 species
AUUGAACGCUGGCGGCAGGCCUAACACAUGCAAGUCGAGCGCGAGGCGGACGGGUGUGAAUUAUGUGGGGACAGCCCGAUAGCGGGGGGGAACUACAGGAAACGGGGGCUAAAACCGCGUACUCUAUGAUCACCCCUAUGGGAUUAGCUCGUAGGUGUGGUAAUGGCUCACCUAGGCGACGAUCCCUAGCUGGUCUGAGAGGAUGAUCAGCCACACUGGAACUGGGACCCGGCCCAGACUCUCACGGAGGCAGCAGUGGGGAAUAUUGCACAAGGGGCGCAAGCCUGAUGCAGCCAUGCCGCGUGUAUGAAGAAGGCCCUAGGGUUGUAAAGUACUUUCAGCCGGGAGGCGUUACCGACAGAAGAAGCACCGGCUAACUCCGUGCCAGCAGCCGCGGUAAUAC